AACGGGACUUAAAAUAAAACGGGUUAUGACAUCCCGAACCCACUAAGUGACUAGGAAUAUUAACCUAGUUAAUUAUGUGUAGUUAGAACAAUAAAGGAAACUAGAAAUAGUUAAACCUUUUAUAAAAACAAAACAUGAGGGGCUAAUAGUGCCAAAUGGAGGAAACUUAUUUAUUAAAACUAAAAAUAAAACACAACACACACUUGGUAAGUGUGUGUGUGUGCGCAGGAACGAUCAGAAGAACAGGGGGUUCUUUCAAAACCCUAAAGCACAUGAAAUCCAGCAAAAUCAAGGAGAAAUCGAGCAAAGAAAUUAGGGCUUUAACUAAAAUCGUGAUCACCAAGCUAAGGGGAUCGGAAGUUUGACGCCUAACAAGCUAGGUGGAAGCUUGUGGAUGAAGCGGGUCAAACGGAGCGUACGGAAAGAAAGGCGUGGCAUGGAUGCAAGGUGUAAAUGUCAAAUGGGUAUUAGCAACGCUAUGAAUUAGCGGUUAUAAAAGCAAGGUAUUAAAAACGGGUCAAUAUAUUGAUCUGCGCCAGGUAUGUGAAAAAGGGUAACCCUCAUUUAGAACAUGUGGUUCAAAGAGUGUUAAAAGUAGUCAAGGUGAAUAUUUGGUUACUUGAUAAGUAAACCAAAUGUUUUAGGUAAGGAACAUUGUAUUUGGAAAGCUUAAUGACUUUUCAAAUAAAAUCAUAGGUUAAAAGAGGGAUUACGGGUCAAAAUAAGCAUACGAGUGAAAACGGGUUUAAAUUGUGUAAUAAACCUGUGAUUAUAACCUAAUAUGGUAAAUAACCUUAAUUUGAAGUAGUGUACGUGAUAUAAAGGUUAAACAAGUAUGUUUGUUUGAUAAACGUAUAAACGGGUCAAAAUUUUGGUAAAAGAGUAAUAAGCCGAAGACUUAAAAGUCUUAAAUUUUAUUAAUUCGGAUGUUGGAUUUUAACUCCAUAUGAUGGAAGAUUAAAUUACAAUCAUGUAGGAAGAAACGGUAGAUCAAACGGAUAAGCGGUUUGAAAGAUACGAAAGUUUUCGUGUCGAAUAACGGCAAAAAUAGAGAAGCUGGAUGCAGAGUCCACCGUAAUUUACGGUCCCACCGUAAAUUACGGUGGAGAUGAAUUGGUUACGGUGCUAAUUGUCUGUUGUACGGUAGAAGAAUAGAAACCCAUGGGGCCACCGUAAUUUACGGUCCCACCGUAAAUUACGGUGGAGAUUAUUUCUUUUUAUAUUUUGUUUUCAUUUGAAAAUCAAUUGUUUCCCGGACAUCGUUCGGACAUGAUUUAAACCCCGUAUGACUAAAGCAUUUCAUGUUUAUGAAAUGUAGGUACACCUUGGACGCCGGAAGACGAUCAAGCUCAGCGAAGAACCGAACACGAUAAUGAUACACGCUUCCGCACUUUGCUACGUUGUAAUUUUUUAAACAACGAAUUCGAUCACGUUAUGUAGAAUAACUUAUGAUUUAUAAAAGUUUUAAUAAACCCGUAUUUCCAAAUGUUUAUGUAAUCUUAAUUACAUGAUUGUUUUACGUAAAAUUUACGUUAAACCUUGAAU